rnacentral:rRNA from 1 species
AUGGACAAUAGAGCAACCAUCUUUACUGAUAAACUUAUUAGCAGACACCAAAAUGCUUUCAUCAAGCAUAGAAAUAUCAUGGAUGGGAUCCUCACUCUCCAUGAGAUCUUGCACAACACACACCAUAAAAAGAAAGUUGGGGUAGUCCUGAAGUUGGACUUUGAGAAGGCAUACGACAAAAUUAAUUGGGAUUUUCUCCUUGAGUGUCAUAAUAAUAGAGGUUUUGGUGAAACCUGGUGUGGUUGGCUGAAGAAGAUACUAACUAAUGGCACAGUCAGCAUUAAGCUGAAUAAUGUGACUGGGCCUUACUUUCAAAGCCACAAGGGAGUGCGCCAGGGCGACCCUCACUCCCCUUUUUUGUUUAACCUUGCGGUGGAAACCUUGUCUAAGAUGAUUCGCAAUGCUUAG